rnacentral:rRNA from 1 species
UUUGAUCCUGGCUCAGGAUGAACGCUGGCGGCGUGCUUAACACAUGCAAGUCGAACGAUGAUCCGGUGCUUGCGCCGGGGAUUAGUGGCGAACGGGUGAGUAACACGUGAGUAACCUGCCCUUGACUCUGGGAUAAGCCUGGGAAACUGGGUCUAAUACCGGAUAUGACUCCUCAUCGCAUGGUGGGGGGUGGAAAGCUUUUUGUGGUUUUGGAUGGACUCGCGGCCUAUCAGCUUGUUGGUGGGGUAAUGGCCUACCAAGGCGACGACGGGUAGCCGGCCUGAGAGGGUGACCGGCCACACUGGGACUGAGACACGGCCCAGACUCCUACGGGAGGCAGCAGUGGGGAAUAUUGCACAAUGGGCGAAAGCCUGAUGCAGCGACGCCGCGUGAGGGAUGACGGCCUUCGGGUUGUAAACCUCUUUCAGUAGGGAAGAAGCCCUCUUUGGGGGUGACGGUACUUGCAGAAGAAGCGCCGGCUAACUACGUGCCAGCAGCCGCGGUAAUACGUAGGGCGCAAGCGUUAUCCGGAAUUAUUGGGCGUAAAGAGCUCGUAGGCGGUUUGUCGCGUCUGCUGUGAAAGACCGGGGCUCAACUCCGGUUCUGCAGUGGGUACGGGCAGACUAGAGUGCAGUAGGGGAGACUGGAAUUCCUGGUGUAGCGGUGAAAUGCGCAGAUAUCAGGAGGAACACCGAUGGCGAAGGCAGGUNUNUGGGCUGUAAC